ensembl:misc_RNA Metazoa_SRP Metazoan signal recognition particle RNA
GCCAGGUGUGGUGGUGUGCACCUGUAAUCCCAGCUACUGGGGAGGCUGAGGCAGGAGAAUUGCUUGAACCCAGGAGCUGGAGGUUGCAGUGAGCCGAGACAGUGCCACUGCGCUCCAGCCUGGGUGACAAAGCAAGACUCUGUCUCAA